GCAGGUAUUACUGGUUUAUUAAUGUGUGUUAUUCUUGUUGUCAUAGUAACCACCAGUUAUAGACAUAUGAGGGAAGUGAACUAUGAUUUGUUUUGUUUUACACAUCGUCUCAUUCUCGUCUUCUAUAUAUUAAUAUUAGUUCACGCUAUGGGAGGAUCUAUUAAACAACAAACUAACCUGAACAAUCAUUGGCCAGGCUGUAAUACGUCAUCAAUCUCACCCCAAUCUGAACCAAUCACAGAGCUUUAUUUAAUGACGUCUAAUAUCACUAACUGUACAGAGAGACCUCGAUUUGAACAUAUUAAGAUUCAGUCUUGGUAUUGGAUUGGUAUCCCUUUGUUUAUCUAUAUCUGUGAUAGUACUGUACGGAUCUUUAGGAGAGGUAAAAGUACAUUGAAGGUUGGAAGUCUAAAAUCCUAUCCCGGUGGUGUGGUGGAAGUCAAUAUGACUUGCGAUGGAUUCAAAGCUACUCCUGGCCAGUACAUUUUGUUGAAAUGUUCAUCAAUAUCAUAUUUUGAGUGGCAUCCAUUCUCUAUAACACAGUGUCCGAGAGAAGAUUCCAAGAAUUUUUCUGUACAUAUUCGUACUUCAGGCGACUGGUCAGG